rnacentral:tRNA from 1 species
UCUCUGUUGGUAUAUUUGGUCAGUACACGCGCCUGUCACGCGCGAAAGCUGGGUUCAACUCCCAGACAGAGAG